UCCGUUGGUCAAGGGGUUAAGACACCGCCUUUUCACGGCGGUAACACGGGUUCGAAUCCCGUACGGA
rnacentral:tRNA from 2 species